UUUAGUUUAAGUUAAUAAUAUAAAACUACAGAUUUGUGGCGUCUGAAUUCUUUUUCUUAAGAACUAAAU
rnacentral:tRNA from 1 species